rnacentral:lncRNA from 7 species
GUAGUCUCUCUCUCUCUCUAUUUUGCCUUCAAUGUGUAAUGUAUUUCUGCUCGUUUCUAUCUAUGGAGGAGUGCGUAGGUAGUAGUACUAGAGGUGCCAAUAAACAUCCGUGUAUAUAUAUAUAUGAUGGGGAGGAAGAUCGACGACGAUCUGUGUUAUUUAUGAUAUAGUAUACACUUGUAUGAGAAAAAGGAAGUAAUUCCAUGUUUUUCUCAGGCACGGAUCAGUGAGAGUCUACACUCCGCUUCAUUUGUGAUUCUGCUCCUGCGCUUUUUUUUUUCGAACGCAAUAUUCUGCUUGGGUACAAUAAUGCACAAGU